GAAAAAACCUGAAGUACAGAGAGGCUCAACUACUUAACCAAGGUGCCAUUUAAUUUGACUUCUGUCAAUCAACUUGAGAGUAAAAGAAACAGAUUGUUCAUCCUUUCCAUUAGAAAUCCCUAAUACCUGGACUAGGAACAAAGGGUAAACUGUCAAGAAUGUAAGAUCAUAGUUCUCUUUGGAGAUGAAGACAGUAUUUCAAAUUGAUGACAUUGUGUGUUAAAAAUACAUACUCUUUAAUGUGUGCUGUAUUGUUUUAGGGUAAUUAAUUCAGCUAGAGAAAACAAGAAAACAAACAGGAUGGCAGAAACUCAGAAGAUGCAUUAAGCAUAGGACCCCUCUUGGGCUCUGUCAUACGGUGGAGGCGGGUGCCAUGUCCUGGAAAGACUGUCAGACUCAGGCUGGCUCCCUCCAGGAUCUGCCCAGUUGGCGACUACCCAGACAACUCAUAAAGAAGGCUGGAGACUGAACUACCGUAGAGAGAAGUGAUGUGAUAAUGGAAAGCAAGUGACAUGAAAGAAGAGCAAGUAGAAAAAAAAAAUGGGGCUGGAAAAAAGGACCACAAUGAAUGUACCAUUGGUAAGAAGACUGCCAUUCCACAAAUGUGGUUUCUGGAACUUACUAGGAAAGUCUCACUUAUUUCAGGUUAUAGUAAAAACUCAUCAUAGGGCAGUAAAUGACAAUGCAGCUAUCCAUUUAUACGGUAUAGAUUUAUUUAGCAGUUAACACAUCUGGCAAAGUGAUUCCUACAGUCAUCAGAUUUACAUUGUAUUAGGAGAAAGAGUACAUUGUUUAAUAAUCACUUGAAUAAAAGAAUAAUUUCACAACUGAGAUAAAUGCUAUAGAAGAAAGAUCCAAGCUGAGUGAGUUAUAAUAAAGAAACUGAUUAGGGAUGAAGAGGGUAUCAGAUGUCUGAAAUCUGAAGGAUGAGGCACAAACUAGGCCUGGGUGGGAAUCACGGAUACUUUCAGGCAGAGGGAGCAGUAUGAGCCAAGGCCAGCGGUUGGACACAUAAGACACUGAAUUAAUUUGGAAUGCAUGGUGAGAAGUCACAGCACAUAGGACAGCAACACAGAGGAAGGUGGAUUAGUCGUCACAUGUUCCACAGCAAUGACCAGUAAGAAUCGUCACAGUUACUGAUAUUGAAAUGUCACACUUCAAUUACUGACAAUUAGAAUGUUAUAAGACAUUCAUGAAUGAUUAUUGUUUUCCUGUAGAAUGCUAUAAACAUGAGAACACUAAAGAGACACGAAAAGUAAUAGUAGCUGUGUACUCAGUAAACAAGACAUAACACAAUGUAAAUUAAUAUCUCAUAUUAAAUAUUUCAUUUUACCUUUCAGAAAUACAAAAUAAGGAAAUACGAGUGCUAUUCUUGGGCUCUAACAAAAAUACCAAAACAAAUUUUUAAAUUUUUUAAAAUUUUUUCUUCAA